AUAGUUGAAACUUGAUACAAGAAACUUGAAGCUGCAUUUAGCAUAGCCUAUGAAACAGGAGCAGGUGUGAUUGAGGUAAUUGAGGUAACAGGUAACCUUGUGAUGGACGUCAACAGACAUCUCUUUAAAUAACUUUACUGUCUGUGACUUCUUCAUUGUAGUGGAACCAACCACAUUGCAUUGCUCAUCAUCAAUCUGUUAAAAAAAACCCAGCUAUUGUGAAGACACUAAACUAAGAGCACAAAGAUUUUUUUUCUUCACUUUUAUUACACUUAUAUUAAAUGAAACGUUGUUAUGGAUGGUAAAGGGCUUCUUACUCUGGAAAUGUUUCAUCUGACUUUCAAUCCCACAAAAGAUUUUACAUGGAAUUAUGAAGAAUUACAUUGAAUUAAAGUUAUAUUGAAGGCAAUUAGGUUGGUCUUGUACAGCACCAAAGUUUUAAAUAGUUUGAAUUAUUACGGUGUUGCACUAACAGUGUGUUACUUACGUGAGGGUUUAUUAAAGCGUAGACUAAGCAUUGCAUAUAGGAGAAGAAGGAUGGUUUGUGUGGUUUUUAUCCUUACACCUCAUGGUAAGCUAUUUUGUUGCUCUGAUUGGUUAGGUCUAUCCAAUUGAGUGCAGAGGCAUUCUCCCCCUGUAUCGGUUGAAACACGACCCAU